AAUCCCUCGAGCGGUAAACCGAGGGAAGGUAGCUCAGGGAGGGAGGUCAACCCGGCAGUCUAUCUGUGGUAUAGCAGCCGCACACACCUUGUUGGAGUGAAACCUGUGGAUUUAUUCCCUGUGAGCGCCAGAGAUUGGGCUCCUCCUUCCCACACGCACCUCAACCCGCCGCCUGCCGCCUUCCCUGUGCAUGCGACGAGGCUCAGGAUCACAAGGGAGGCAGGCUGAGUGGUGCGAGGGAGGCAGAGAGAGGCAGAGGGAGCAGAGGUGAAGGAGGAUGUGUGCUACUUAGCAGUGGGGAACAAGUACCGCCCCUGCACGACGCCCUCCCACCGGAGCGAGACAUGACAUCCACGCAAGCCGCCCACACCGCGCAUCACGGCCGCGAAGACACACACGCCGUUGCCACAAAGGAAUUACCGGUAUGCGAGGAAAUACUUAAACGAAUCCGGCUGUGAAAAGUGGCAAAAACAAAGGCCCUUCCCUGCGUCCUUGAGUGGGUGCCGGGUGGGUGCUCCCUGCACCUGCCUCGUGUCCUCACUGAGCUGCCGAAUAUUGUUUUCAGCGUGAUGUAAGAGUGACUGGUCCGCCACGAGGUGGCCGUGUGUGGCGGCUGGUGGGGUGUGUGAUGGCCUCAAGUGGGGCGGCGGCGGAAGACGAUCAGCUUGGGGUGCACGGCGGUAUCACAUUGCCGGGACAGAAACCUGCGAUGUGAGACUACACGCGAGGGAAACUGCCUUUGUCAACAGCCACGGGGAGCAACGGCCGACGCAGGGCUGCCAGUGGGGACACCGCACCGGGGGCCAGGAAGCAGGCUCUGCCCACACCAGCAGGUAGCACAUCUCUGCUCCCAUUUUGUCACUGAGCGGUGAGAAGUGGCCGCGACAGGAGGAGACCUGGAGAUCCCUACGCCGCCCUCUGGAUACCGCAGUGCAGUUAAGGCCGACAUCCCGUGUGUGAAAUAGGGGAUACUGAGCCUAAGCGUUCCGUUCAUUACCUCGGGGGCCAUGACCACCGUCCCGCGCCUCCGGCCAUAUUCUCGCUCGACGUUGCCACCUCGUAUGACGCUCGCGCUGAGUGCUGACGCUUGAUGCCACACACACACACACACACACACACACAACACACACAGCGGCUGAUAGCAACGAGUGCCUGCGGGAGGCAGCCAAAGGCGCCGUGCAGCGAGGAGGGGCUGCCAGAGUGAAGGUCACCUGGGAGUCGCAGCCCGUCACUCCGCGGCUUCCCCUCAUUGACGCCCAUAACUUCCCCACAACUAUGGCGUUGAGUCCCUUGCUUUUGUCCCUGAAAGCUUCUUGGUCCUGGCCGCCACACUGCUCUGCCCCCUCCCUCACACCCGCACCCUCAACAACACCCCCACCGCCCGCCUUCACGCAAGACGCAAUAUUAGUAAGAGGAAUAAUUCAUGCAAAUUUCAGAAUAAUUGUGGAAGUGUUGAAGUGUUGCCAGGGAAAAGACAAGGUGAAGGAGGAAGAGGGAGGGCGGGAUUAAAACAUUGGUGUAAUGGUUCGCCGCAGCCUCGCUCUCCCCGCCCCCGCUACCUCCUCCAACAUUUCCUCCCGCUGGGCUCCCUCCCCGCCCGCCUCACUAGUUAAGGCCCACGCCACUUUUCAUCAGGUCUACACUCAUUCCCUUCAUAACACGGGAGUUACUCAUGUCCGGCGGGAAUGGCCGAGCGGAGCCACAGCGGAGGGGAGGGAGGGAGGGAGGGAGGAAGCAGCAGCAGCCUCAGAGUCGUGAGAGUUAGUGAGUGGGGCGCCGCGGAAUGCAGGUGAGUACAGUUGUCUGACGUCCACCUCUACAUUUCCUGUGUUGCCUCUCAGCCCCGGCGAGAGAUGGCGCCACCAGACGUAAAUGAUAUAUUACGACCUGCUCUGGUUCAUCAGCCCGACGGAUCCAGUUCUCGUCUGAAUAAGAUGAAUAAAUCACCGAUAAAAAGAGGCUUGGGUCGAGGUGGGCAGCAAGGCCGGCCAGGAGGGAGGAGGGCGAGGGGGAGGAUGGAAGGUUCGCGGCGAGGUGAACACUCCCACACAGGCUGUGGUCCAGAGGGAGGCAGCCUGGGAGGACGACGGGAUGGCAGCCAGGCAAGCGGACACCCGCCCCCUGUCCUCCCCCGGGAGCUCCAAGAUCCCAGCCAUUCAAUCUCCUGACAGCCCCGCCAGCCAAUACACUCCGUCAAGGGCGCCCCGCCUCAACAUUCAACAUUAUUUGCACCGGAGGGAAACCGGAGAGCAUCCCGCGAGGCACCGUGCUGCCUCCACAUCACUCUGCGCCGCUGAGAAAAUUAAUGCUCUUUUAUGAGGCUGGAAGGCCAAAAGCGGCACCACAGGCAGCGGGCCCAGCAAGGGAGCAGAGCAUGGCGCGGCGGGGCACGACCAGGGCGGCACUCCGUUACCCAGGACAGGUCUGAGCCCUACCAGGCUGCUCAGGGAAAAGCGCUUCCCUAAACCACCAGCAUUCCAGCAACGAAACCCACCCACGCCUCCAGAUGGUGUUUCUCGGCCUGGCUCCGCACCACACCUUACCUUCCAGCGACGCCACCGUCUGCUGGCUCACGUGAACACGACCUACAACAUAAAUGCUUCAUUGCUUCCUACUCGCGCGUUGCGUCUGUCCAGUACAACUCCCACGCCUUGACGCAGCGGCAUCCUCACGGCGCCGUUAUUACACACAGUCCCUCACACCUCUCAUCUCACAUUCUUUGGCAUGCUGGCCCAACACUCCCCCAUUCCUUUCUUCCCUGCAUCACUCAGUCCUGCGGCCGCCGCCACGCGGGUCAUACCUGCACCACACACUGGCCCAUGCGUGGCCGCGGCAGGAAGUGGUCAGAAUUCGUACCUGCGGACGGCAAAAUGUCAGAAGUCACCUCCUGGAGACUGGAGGUUACGCGAGAGUCCGUGGGCAAGGGCAGUGGCCGGAGGUAGCACAGGGGUGAGGGAAGGGCGGGGGAGGAGAGGCAGCAGGGGGCGGCCGCCGUGCUGUACUGCCAGGCUGCAUCUCACGAACAUGAUGAAUCAGGGAAGUGGGGAUUGAAUGUCGCCAGAUAGUUUGCAUCCACGCCGGUGCUCCAUCACGGGUAUAAAGCCUUCCCCGCUCCUCCCUCCCUCUCCCUCCCUCUCUCCCCUCACACGUCUUGUUCCUCCCUUCUCUCCAUCAGCAUUCAUCCUUCCUCUCUCUUAUCGUCCCUUCUGCUGGCUUUCCUAACAUGUUUUGUGAAAUAUUUACUCCGCUCGUUCAUUAUACCACGACUCUCUCUCUCUCUCUCUCUCUCUCUCUCUCUCUCUCUCUCUCUCCUCUCCUCU